AGACAACUUCUUACUUUGUUGCCCAGGCUGAAGUGCAGUGAUGCGAUCACGGCUCACUGCAGCCUCGACCUCCCAGGCUCAAGCGAUCCUCCCACCUCAACAUCCCAAGUAGCUGGGACUCCAAACGCGUGCCACUAUGCCCGGCUAAGUUUUGUAUUUUUAGUAGAGAUGGAGUUUUGCCAUGUUGCCCCGGCUGGUCUCGGACUCCUGGGCUCAAGCAAUCUGCCUGCCUCUGUCUCCUGAAGUGUUGUGAUUACAGGCAUGAGCCACCGCACCUGGCCAAGAUGCUUUUUCUGUUUCUGAGAUACAAUGAACUAUAUCUUAAGAAUUCAUAAAGCCCUAAAAAGUAAAUAUUUACAACCAGAAAUCUUUCUGACAAAGAAACAAGAUUACUCAAAUGCUUGUCAAGAUGGUUCUGGAAACUGAAUAAAUUGUUAUUAACUAAAUUCUAAAAGCUUCAUAUAAUCAUCUGAUACAUACAUCACAUCAAUUUCAGCCUAGGCUCUCUAUGGUGGCAAAUUAUUUCAGCACUAAAUCAUGAAGGCUGGAUUCUUGAAGCCUGGCAGAGGCAAAUGUCUCAUUAAUGCUGAUCUGAGAGACAUCUGUGAUGAGCCUGAACAUCAGGCCAAUCUGCAGAGCUGAUCAGGGGCUGCUGAGUGGUUCUGAAGUGAGUCAGGCUGUGAAUGAAGACUCCACCAGAAUGAGGAGAAUUCCAUGCAUGGAGAUUCAAAUAAAGACAAAAGGGAGAUGCAACUAUGGAGGCUGAGAAGUCCCACCAUCGGAGCGCCUCUGCCCCGCCGCCCCAUCUGGGAUGUGAGGAGCGCCUCUGCCCGGCCGAGACCCCGUCUGGGAGGUGAGGAGCGUCUCUGCCCGGCCGCCCCGUCUGAGAAGUGAGGAGACCCUCUGCCUGGCAACCACCCCGUCUGAGAAGUGAGGAGCCCCUCCGCCCGGCAGCUGCCCCGUCUGAGAAGUGAGGAGCCUCUCCGCCCGGCAGCCACCCCAUCUGGGAAGUGAGGAGCGUCUCCGCCCGGCAGCCACCCCGUCCGGGAGGGAGGUGGGGGGGGGUCAGCCCCCCGCCCGGCCAGCCGCCCCAUCCGGGAGGGAGGUGGGGGGUCAGCCCCCCCGCCCGGCCAGCCGUGCCAUCCGGGAGGGAGGUGGGGGGGUCAGCCCCCCGCCUGGCCAGCCGUGCCGUCCGGGAGGGAGGUGGGGGGGUCAGCCCCCCGUCCGGCCAGCCGCCCCGUCCGGGAGGUGAGGGGCGCCUCUGCCCGGCCGCCCCUACUGGGAAGUGAGGAGCCCCUCAGCCCGGCCAGCCACCCCGUCCGGGAGGGAGAUGGGGGGGUCAGCCCCCCCACCCGGCCAGCCGCCCCGUCCGGGAGGGAGGUAGGGGGGUCAGCCCCCCGCCUGGCCAGCCGCCCCGUCCGGGAGGGAGGUGGGGGGGUCAGCCCUCCGCCCGGCCAGCCGCCCCGUCUGGGAGGUGAGGGGCGCCUCUGCCCAGCCGCCCCUACUGGGAAGUGAGG
rnacentral:lncRNA from 1 species